UCGGGAAUUUUGGACAAUGGGCGCAAGCCUGAUCCAGCCAUGCCGCGUGCGGGAAGAAGGCCUUCGGGUUGUAAACCGCUUUUGUCAGGGAAGAAACGCUCUGGGCUAAUACCCUGGGGUAAUGACGGUACCUGAAGAAUAAGCACCGGCUAACUACGUGCCAGCAGCCGCGGUAAUACGUAGGGUGCAAGCGUUAAUCGGAAUUACUGGGCGUAAAGCGUGCGCAGGCGGUUAUGCAAGACAGAUGUGAAAUCCCCGGGCUCAACCUGGGAACUGCAUUUGUGACUGUAUAGCUAGAGUACGGUAGAGGGGGAUGGAAUUCCGCGUGUAGCAGUGAAAUGCGUAGAUAUGAGGAGGAACACCGAUGGCGAAGGCAAUCCCCUGGACCUGUACUGACGCUCAUGCACGAAAGCGUGGGGAGCAAACAGGAUUAGAUACCCCGGUAGUCCCUGAGCGGGCUGGCAAGGCG
rnacentral:rRNA from 1 species